UCCCUGUGAUGGCGGCGCCGGAGGUGGGUGAGGGCGGCGGUGCGGGCAGGGGGGACAAUCCGGCGCCAUCCGCCGCGCCCCGGGGCCCCCCCGCCGCUCGGCCCCGCCGCAUCGGAGCUCCGGGGGCUCCGCGUCCGGGCAGUGGCGUUUCGGGGAGCCCCGAUGGGCUGCGAGGGGGCGGCGCGGGGGUGACUCCGCUCCCCCCUCCGGCCCGGGGCCUCGGGGCGCCGGGGGGCAGCGGCUGCGCGGCGGAGGGGCCUGCCGGGCCCUGUCGAAGCUGCGCCUGUCUCCACCGCGUAGCUGGCGCAGUCAAAAAGGAGCCGAGAGCGAGCUGUUUUCCCAGACGGUCGCUGCGCAGUUUGUCGUGCCGUAACUGCCCAGCAACAUCCCGGGAAAAUACAUGUUCGGGAAGGGCCGAGGCGGCGCAGGGCGGCCGGGGUCUCCGCGCUGCCGCCGUGGUUUUGGGAUCCCGGCUGGGAAAGGCGCACGGAGAAGCGGGAGGCAGUGGGUGUCGCAGCUCUUCCGUUGCUCUAAAGCAUGUUCUUUCUGUAAGAAGCUGCCCGACGCUGAAGACCGGUGCUCCCCCGCUUCCUUCAAGCAUGGAAGGUGAUCCCGUGCCUGGGGAUGGCCAGGGCUCAGCAGCAUGAACGGUGUGUUCUAGGGUUGCUUGAUUAGGAGCUCGCUCAGCUGAUUGCCCGCUGGACGGACCCGCCAUGGCACUUGCAAGGUACAAAAAUUCAGUCCAAAGGUUAAGUUGUGGCCACUAAGAGGAGCCCAGGAGACGUGAAGAUUUGCCGGUGGUGUCCUCUGUGUCAUACACAAGUAAACCUCGUGAUGAGCUUCUUGGGUGGAAGUGCAAGUCAGCAGAGUCAGGAAGUGAUACAAAAUAAAAAUCAUCUUCCCCUGUUGUACAGUCUUGCCGAAUCGCUUAGUGGAAAAGGCUGAGAGCUCAUGGAGCCAAGUCAUGAAUCCCUUGCUCCAGCGAAGGGAAUCGGUUUGCUUGCCAAAAGGCCUAAAUCGUGCGUGGGGAAGCUCUGCGGCUAAACACGUCUAGAUGGAACAUAGAGCUGAGAUGAGCCGGUCUCUGAAGGUUUCGGUGCCUCUCUGUGCAAGUCUUCCCUUUCCAGUCCUCUCCUGAAGAAGUGGUGGUUCUGCACAAACAGAUCCUGGCUCCUUUGUGAGCCAUGAGCUCCCCCAGGUGGGGACAGCGGCUUAGGUUCAGGAGUCGUUCAGUGUUACGGGUGGCAGGAGCUUGUUUCACUGCAGAUGUUGAAGUUCCUGAAUAUUCAGCACGGAAGAAGUGUUCCUGCCAUGGGGUUCUGUCAGGGGAAGAGUUUGGGGGAGGGUCUGGACUUAAAACAUGGGCAGGAUGAAUAAACACAUCUGAAACUCUU